rnacentral:misc_RNA from 1 species
UGGGUGAUGGCUGGGUGACG